AGCCUCCCCUCUUCCUCCCUUAAUGUAGGGCUCUGCUUUUUUUGAAAACCAAAAAAAAAAUGUAUCCCCAUUUUAAACACUUGAAUGGCUACUGGCUAUGAACCUAUAAAAACUCUUAUGUUGUUUAAGGGGGUGUGAGUUGUUAAGGUUCCUUGGGGUAUAAAGGGCCAAUAUAAUGGCCAAGGACUAGUCCACAUCACACAUCAUGUGCCCACACCCCUCACCCCCUACCCCCAAUCGUUGGAACCCCUAAUGCCACCGGUCAAGUUCUCUAAUGAUGAUCUGAUGAUGGUGCCUCAGGCAAUAAAAUGUAGCACCAAUACAUGCCUAAGCCUAACAUGUGCACCAUGGCCUUGAAUCAAACUUUGACCAAGGCUUGAACCAGUAAUGACCAUCCUAGUGCAUGGUGCAGGCAUAUGCCUCGACCAUCAUUGAAACAAGUUUGCCUUUGGUACAGGCACUAGCCUUAGCCAUGAUCGAUACAUGCUAGCUCUUGGUAUAGGCACUUGUGCUUCGUGUUGGUUCUUUUCGUUGCUUGAUCAAUGCAUUAAGGCCCACACGGUGCCAACAUCUUAAAGGAAUGCUACCUGAUUGGUCCUACCAGUUGUCAUAUGAUUGUUUUAAAGAUUAAGCCAUACUUAUAUAAAUAUGAACUAAUUUAGACUAUGAAACAGUGAAUGGCUCAUUAAAUCAGUUAUAGUUUUUUGAUGGCAUCUAUUACUCGAAUAACCAUAGUAUUUCUAGAGCUAAAAUGUGUAACAAACCUGGACAUCUAGAAAGGAUACAUUUAUUAGAUAAAUGGCUGAUGCAGGCUUAACCCAUUGCUUUGAUGAUUCAUGACAACUCGAUGGAUCAUACAACUUUUGUACUGGUUACAUAUCAUACAAAUUUUUUCCUUAUCAACUUUUAAUGGUAGGAUAGUGGCCUACUAUGGUGGAAAGGGGUAACAGAGAAUUAGGGUUUAAUUUUAGAGAAAGAGCUUGAGAAACAGCUACCACAUCUAAGGUAGUAGGUGAGCAAAUUACCCAAUCUUGACACCAGGACAUAGUGACAAUAAAUAACAAUAUCGGGCUUUGUGAGUUUGGUAACUGGAAUGAGUACAAUCUAAAUCCCUUAACAAGGACCAUUAAGGGCAAGUCUGGUGCUAGCAGCUAUAGUAACUCUAGCUCUAAUAGUGUAUAUUUAAGUUGUUGCCAUUAAAAAGCUCAUCAUUGGAACUAGGGUUAUGUUGGGCAUGGGGGUCCUAGUCCCGUGCCCAUUGGCUAUUAGUGCACUGCUCAAGCUACUUCUACAGCCAAAAUGGGUUGCCACAUGUUGGUUAGGGGAUGGAUUGGGAACAACUCGCUUGAGACUUUUCCCUGAUGAUGAACAAUCAACUAAGAACUGGUACGAAUAAGGGGAAUCUGACUAUUUAAUUAAAACAAAGCAUUAUGAUGGUCCCUGCAGAUGAUCAUGUAAUGUGAUUUCUACCCAAUGUUGUAAAUGUCAAAGUGAAGAAAUUCAACCAAGCGCGAGUAAAUAGCAAGAGUAACUAUGACUCUAUUAAUGUAGCCAAAUGCCUCAUAAUCUAAUUAGUAACGUGCAUGAAUGGGUUAAUGAGAUUCCCAUUAUUCCUAUAUGCUAUCUAAUGAAACCAUAGCUAAGGGAAUGGGCUUGGUGGAAUUAACAAGGAAAGAAGACUCUGUUGAGCUUGACUUUAGUCUGACUUGAAAUGACUUAGAGUUGUAGGAUAAGUGGGAGCCCAUGGGCAAAAUUGAAAUACCUCUACUUUUAACAUUAUUUUACUUAUUUUAUGAAUUAAAGGUAGGGCACCAACCAUUCUUUUGGACCCAAGGCCAACUUUAGUUGGUCAAUCUGGGUGAAAGACAUUGUUAAGUGGGGAGUUUGUCUGGGGUAGCACAUCUAUUAAAAGAUAAUACAAGUGCCCUAAGAUGAGCUAAAUGAUAAUAUAAAUCUCAUGUGGAACAAAAGAGUAAAAGCUCAUUUGAUUCUAAUUUCCAGUAUGAAUAUGAACCAUGAAAAUGGUGGCCUAUCGAUCUUUUAGAGCUUCAGAAUUUGAAGUUAAAGGUGUUGGAAAAGUAACCAUAGGGAUAAUUGGCUUAUAGUAGCUAAGUGUUCAUAGCGACGUUGCUUUUUGAUCCCUCGAUGUCGGUUCUUCCUAUCAUUGUGAAGCAGAAUUCACCAAUCGUUGGAUUGUUCACCCACCAAUAGGUUAGUUUUAACCUACUAAUGGCAGUGUUGCAAUAGUAAUUCAACCUAGUAUGAGAGAAACCAUUAAUUCACACAAUUGGUCAUAUCGCUUGGCUAAAAAGCUAGUGGUACGAAACUAUCAUGUGCUAGAUUAUGAUUGAAUGCCUCUAAGUUAGAAUCCAGGCUAGAAGCAAUGCAUGCACCUAUUCCUUAAUUGCUGACCUACAGUAGGGGCCCAUAGCCCCUAAUGGCACAUGUCUUAGGUGUAGCACCAUAGGGAAACAAGCUUUACGGGCCUCCUUGGAGCUCAAUUCCCAUCGAGUGAUAGGUAGAAUCCUUUGUAGAUGACUUAAAUAUGCAAUAAGGUAUUGCAAGUGACAGAGUGGCUUUGUUACCAUGACCAUUGAGAUUCAGCCCUUUGUGAUGUCGAUUCGUCCCUCCCCCUUACA
rnacentral:rRNA from 1 species